GGCCUCAUCGUCUAGUGGUUAGGACACGGCCCUUUCAAGGCCGCGGCGCGGGUUCGAGUCCCGCUGAGGUCA
rnacentral:tRNA from 2 species